GUACACGCUGUGACUAGCAUAUCAAUAAGCGGAGGAAAAGAAACUAACAAGGAUUCCCCUAGUAACGGCGAGUGAAGCGGGAAGAGCUCAAAUUUGAAAUCUUAAAGGGUUUCCCUUUACGAAUUGUAGUUUAAAGAAGUGUUUUCUGUUGAGGUUUUGGUAAAAGUUCUUUGGAAUAGGACAUCAUAGAGGGUGAGAAUCCCGUAUUUGACCUUUACUUUCAACUUUGUGAUACACUUUCAAAGAGUCGGAUUGUUUGGGAAUGCAGUCCAAAAUGGGUGGUAAAUUUCAUCUAAAGCUAAAUAUUGGCGAGAGACCGAUAGCGAACAAGUACCGUGAGGGAAAGGAUGAAAAGAACUUUGAAAAGAGAGUUAAACAGUACGUGAAAUUGUCAAAAGGGAAGCGUUUGACACCAGUGUUGUUUUUCUGAAAAUCAAUUAAAGAACUGUUUAUGCUAAGUUGUUUAGACUUUAUCAGCUAACUGUUUAGUUUUGAGCUUUUCUUUAAUGCACUUUUCAGUUAACAAGUCAACAUCAAUUUCUUUUGCUGUAAAAAAGCUUGAGGAAGGUGGCUUGAGAUUCGUCUUAAGUGUUUAUAGCCUCUUGCCUAUGCAGUCGGAGAGAUUGAGGUCUGCAGCGUAGAUCCUUCGGGGCUAAAUGCAUUUGUGCUAAGUUAUAGCAUUUUAUAGACAACUUGUUGACUAUGAUUUGUCUUGUAGCUUACUCGCUUAUGUUAUUUUACCUACGCUUAGGAUGUUGACAGCAGUAUAGACUGU
rnacentral:rRNA from 1 species